rnacentral:tRNA from 1 species
UCCCUGGUGGUCCAGUGGUUAGGACUUGGCGCUUUCACCGCCAUGACUUGAGUUCAAGCCCUGGUCAGGGGA